AGACGUCUGCGCGCGAAUGCCGUGGCGCGAACUUGGGACUGCAGAGGCGCGCCUGGCGGAUCUGAGUGUGUUGCCCGGGCAGCGGCGCGCGGGACCAACGCAAGGAGCAGCUGACAGACGAAGAAAAGUGCUGGACAGGAAGGGAGAAUUCUGACGCCAACAUGCAGCGAAGUAUCAUGGCGGCACUGAAGGAGUGGAAUGGAGUGGUGUCCGAGAGUGACUCUCCGGUGAAGAGGCCAGGGAGGAAGGCGGCCCGGGUCCUGGGCAGCGAAGGGGAAGAGGAGGAUGAAGCCCUUAGCCCUGCUAAAGGCCAGAAGCCUGCCCUGGACUGCUCACAGGUCUCCCCGCCCCGUCCUGCCACAUCUCCUGAGAACAAUGCUUCCCUCUCUGACACCUCUCCCAUGGACAGUUCCCCAUCAGGGAUUCCGAAGCGUCGCACAGCUCGGAAGCAGCUCCCGAAACGGACCAUUCAGGAAGUCCUGGAAGAGCAGAGUGAGGACGAGGACAGAGAAGCCAAGAGGAAGAAGGAGGAGGAAGGCACAUUGGAUUGGCACAAGAUAGAACUGUAAGACCUGCACUUUGGGAGGCCAAGGCGGGUGGCUCACCUGAGGUCAGUAGUUCAAGACCAGCCUGGCCAACAUGGUGAAAUCCCAUCUCUACUAAAAAUACAAAAAAAUAGCUGGAUGUGGUGGUGGGCGCCUGUCAUCCCAGCUACUCGGGAGGCUGAGGCAGGAGAAUCGCAUGAACCCAGGAGGCAGAGGUUGCAGUGAGCCAAGAUCACACCAUUGCACUCCAGCCUGGGCGAAGAGGAGACCCCGAAAGAAAGCCUCACAGAGGCUGAAGUGGCCACAGAGAAGGAAGGAGAAGACGGGGACCAGCCCACCACGCCUCCCAAGCCCCUAAAGACCUCCAAAGCAGAGACCCCGACGGAAAGCGUUUCAGAGCCUGAGGUGGCCACGAAGCAGGAACUGCAGGAGGAGGAAGAGCAGACCAAGCCUCCCCGCAGAGCUCCCAAGACGCUCAGCAGCUUCUUCACCCCCCGGAAGCCAGCAGUCAAAAAAGAAGUGAAGGAAGAGGAGCCAGGGGCUCCAGGAAAGGAGGGAGCUGCUGAGGGACCCCUGGAUCCAUCUGGUUACAAUCCUGCCAAGAACAACUAUCAUCCCGUGGAAGAUGCCUGCUGGAAACCGGGCCAGAAGGUUCCUUACCUGGCUGUGGCCCGGACGUUUGAGAAGAUCGAGGAGGUGUCUGCUCGGCUCCGGAUGGUGGAGACGCUGAGCAACUUGCUGCGCUCCGUGGUGGCCCUGUCGCCUCCAGACCUCCUCCCUGUCCUCUACCUCAGCCUCAACCACCUUGGGCCACCCCAGCAGGGCCUGGAGCUUGGCGUGGGUGAUGGUGUCCUUCUCAAGGCAGUGGCCCAGGCCACAGGUCGGCAGCUGGAGUCCGUCCGGGCUGAGGCAGCCGAGAAAGGCGACGUGGGGCUGGUGGCCGAGAACAGCCGCAGCACCCAGAGGCUCAUGCUGCCACCACCUCCGCUCACUGCCUCCGGGGUCUUCAGCAAGUUCCGCGACAUCGCCAGGCUCACUGGCAGUGCUUCCACAGCCAAGAAGAUAGACAUCAUCAAAGGCCUCUUUGUGGCCUGCCGCCACUCAGAAGCCCGGUUCAUCGCUAGGUCCCUGAGCGGACGGCUGCGCCUUGGGCUGGCAGAGCAGUCGGUGCUGGCUGCCCUCUCCCAGGCAGUGAGCCUCACGCCCCCGGGCCAAGAAUUCCCACCAGCCAUGGUGGAUGCUGGGAAGGGCAAGACAGCAGAGGCCAGAAAGACGUGGCUGGAGGAGCAAGGCAUGAUCCUGAAGCAGACGUUCUGCGAGGUUCCCGACCUGGACCGAAUUAUCCCCGUGCUGCUGGAGCACGGCCUGGAACGUCUCCCGGAGCACUGCAAGCUGAGCCCAGGGAUUCCCCUGAAACCAAUGUUGGCCCAUCCCACCCGGGGCAUCAGCGAGGUCCUGAAACGCUUUGAGGAGGCAGCUUUCACCUGCGAAUACAAAUAUGACGGGCAGAGGGCACAGAUCCACGCCCUGGAAGGCGGGGAGGUGAAGAUCUUCAGCAGGAAUCAGGAAGACAACACUGGGAAGUACCCGGACAUCAUCAGCCGCAUCCCCAAGAUUAAACUCCCAUCGGUCACAUCCUUCAUCCUGGACACCGAAGCCGUGGCUUGGGACCGGGAAAAGAAGCAGAUCCAGCCAUUCCAAGUGCUCACCACCCGCAAACGCAAGGAGGUGGAUGCGUCUGAGAUCCAGGUGCAGGUGUGUUUGUACGCCUUCGACCUCAUCUACCUCAAUGGAGAGUCCCUGGUACGUGAGCCCCUUUCCCGGCGCCGGCAGCUGCUCCGGGAGAACUUUGUGGAGACAGAGGGCGAGUUUGUCUUCGCCACCUCCCUGGACACCAAGGACAUCGAGCAGAUCGCCGAGUUCCUGGAGCAGUCAGUGAAAGACUCCUGCGAGGGGCUGAUGGUGAAGACCCUGGAUGUUGAUGCCACCUACGAGAUCGCCAAGAGAUCGCACAACUGGCUCAAGCUGAAGAAGGACUACCUUGAUGGCGUGGGUGACACCCUGGACCUGGUGGUGAUCGGCGCCUACCUGGGCCGGGGGAAGCGGGCCGGCCGGUACGGGGGCUUCCUGCUGGCCUCCUACGACGAGGACAGUGAGGAGCUGCAGGCCAUAUGCAAGGUCCUGGGGAACUGGGGCUGAUGGCAGAAGCAGGAGGGAAGGAGAUUAGACUCCCGGGGGUAUUUCCUAUUGCACAACCCAGACCGAGGGGUGCUCACAUCCCCCUGUGAAGGAUCCGUUCUCCCCAGUUUUUAUUUACUUUUUCUGGUUCUAUGAGCAACUCUUGCUUCAUAUAGAAAAACAGGCUGGGAUAGAAAGAUGUCAGGAAUGUGUGUCAGUGAGAGAUUGAGAUUAGCUACAAAUAGUGGUGGCUCACAUAAGAAAAGAAUUUUUUUGUUAUGAAAUGAGAAGUGUGGAGGGGGCAGUCUGAUGCCAUUAGGGAUUCAGGUUCCUCCUCUCCCCACAUUUUUUUUUGUCCCCACAUUUUUUUUUUCUGCCAUGUGCCUCUGGCCUCAUCAUCACAAUGUGGCUGCAGGAGUUCCAGCCCUCAUGGCCAUGCCUGCUCCACGCACCAGGGAAGAGCAAAGGGGGUUGGACCCUGAGUCAGCCUCAGCCAGUGAACACCUUCUGCUCAAGUUCUGUUGCUCAUCACUUUGCUCCAUGGCUCACCCCUAGCUGCAAGGAAUUCUGGGAAAUGUAAAGUGAUUUACUUUUUUUCAAGUUAAAGUUUUUCUUAAAGCUGUGCACAUUUUGGACUAGAUUUUCUUACGUAUUUCCUAUAUUCCCCUCUCCAACAAAUUUGGGUCUUUUGCCACAGAAACAGAACAAAAUAUCACCUAGAAUCGUACCACCCAGAGACACGCAGUAGUGACAUUUGAGGGAAUGUUUUAUUUACAUUUUUGCAAAGUUGUGAUCCUUCUCUAUGAGUAAUUUUCUUUUCUGCCUUUUUACCCUGGAAGUACUUUGUUUUCAGUGUUGUAUAUGCCCUUAAGCAAUAUGGCAACAGGACCUGAAUGCCCGCACAAGAGUUUUCAAGUGCUGUGCCCCAUAGCACAUAGUGCUGUGUCCUGAACCAGCUCCCCGUGGCUGUGUGGGGAAGUUGUUGCCGGCUUUGUUCUGAUGGCUUGGAACUGGCUUCAGUGAUGAGGAGCUGGAGGAGCAUCACCAGAGCCUCAAGGCGCUGGUGCUGCCCAGCCCACGCCCUUACGUGCGGAUAGAUGGCGCUGUGAUUCCCGACCACUGGCUGGACCCCAGCGCUGUGUGGGAGGUGAAGUGCGCUGACCUCUCCCUCUCUCCCAUCUACCCUGCUGCGCGGGGCCUGGUGGAUAGUGACAAGGGCAUCUCCCUUCGCUUCCCUCGGUUUAUUCGAGUCCGUGAAGACAAGCAGCCGGAGCAGGCCACCACCAGUGCUCAGGUGGCCUGUUUGUACCGGAAGCAAAGUCAGAUUCAGAACCAACAAGGCGAGGACUCAGGCUCUGACCCUGAAGAUACCUACUAAGCCCUCGCCCUCCUAGGGCCUGGGUACAGGGCAUGAGUUGGACGGACCCCAGGGUUAUUAUUGCCUUUGCUUUUUAGCAAAUCUGCUGUGGCAGGCUGUGGAUUUUGAGAGUCAGGGGAGGGGUGUGUGUGUGAGGGGGUGGCUUACUCCGGAGUCUGGGAUUCAUCCCGUCAUUUCUUUCAAUAAAUAAUUAUUGGAUAGCUA